GCAGGCGCUCCCGGAGCGCGGCGGUCGGCUCUCGGCGAUACCCGGAUGGAAGUGUAAUGGCCGCCAUCAGGGACUCGCAGGCAAUGGGGACCACGACAGAUAUCAUCUCUUCUUUUGAUCACUGUUCCUGAUUGUGGCUUUGUCCAGGCAUUAAAUUGUGUGCCUUUUGUUCCUUGAAGAAAGAGCUGGUGCUAGCAACCCCCAACUCUGCUUGCCCUCUGGACCCAGAUCAAAGCUCUGGAUUCAUCCUCUCUUCCCCAUACCUCAGCUGGAGACAUCUGUUGUCCCAGGGGGCUCCAUACAAUCUUCCUUUCAAGCCCUUGCUUUCUCUUCCAAGGGUGAGGUUCCUGGAUGGUCAGCUCUGAAUAAGCGGUGUGUUAAUGUGUAUGUCCUGCCUCCGCCUUCAGAAUGUAAGCUGCAAUAGGAUGAAGAAACUAAGACACAGAGAUUGACACUUUUCUAGAGUAAUGUAAACAACCCCAUUUUGCAGAUGAAACAAGCUAGAGAGGAUCAAGUCCCCAGCUGGGAGUAACAGUGUUGUGUUCGAGCCCAGGUGACUCAGACAGGAAGGCCCGGCUUUAACCUGAUAUUACUCUUCAGGACUUCAUAGUACUUACUUGGCAGAGUGAAGACUCGAACACACACGCAUCACCAAGGAAUCGAGAGGAAUGGCCAGUGAACCAGAUCGAAAGUACCUGAGCUACAGUCUGGAACACACGGCACUCAGUUCACUCCGUACGCCCCGGCAUGUGCCUCUCCGUAGCCACCGGAGAGCCCAAAGCAGAGGCAGGCGACGUGGUGUGGUACUUUGAAAGAAACACCAGCCUGAAACCUUAGCCCUUUCGUGUUAUCUAUCAGGGCACUGUCCAGAGCUUCUAAAGGAUGACAGAGGCUUAUUCAAAGACACACGCAAGUAG